UCCCUGGUGGUCCAGUGGCUAAGACUCCGCACUUACAAUGCAGUGGGUGCGGGUUCGAUCCCUGUUCAGGGAA